rnacentral:tRNA from 1 species
AGAGGUGCAACUCACUGGUAGAGUACUUGUCUACCAUGCAUAAGGUCCUGGGUUCUACCCCCAGCACUGCCA